UGGUGAAUAUUGCACAAUGGUGGGAACUCUGAUGCAGCAACGCCGCGUGCGGGAUGAUGGCCUUCGGGUUGUAAACCGCUUCCAGCCAUGACGAAGCUUUUGUGACGGUAGUGGUAGAAGAAGCACCGGCUAACCACGUGCCAGCAGCCGCUGUGAUACGUAGGGUGCGAGCGUUGUCCGGAAAUUUUGGGCGUAAAGAGCUUGUAGGCGGUUUGUCGCGUCGAUAGUGUAAACACGCAGCUUAACUGUGUGUCUGCUGUCGAUACGGGCUGACUAGAGGAGGGUAGGAGAGAAUAGAAUUCCCGGUGGAGCGGUGGAAUGCGCAGAUAUCGGGAGGAACGCCUGUGGCGAAGGCGGUACUCUGGACAUUUCCUGACGCUGAGAAGCGAAAGCGUGGGUAGCAAACAGG
rnacentral:rRNA from 1 species